rnacentral:rRNA from 1 species
GACGAACGCUGGCGGCGUGCUUAACACAUGCAAGUCGAACGGAAAGGCCCUGCUUUUGUGGGGUGCUCGAGUGGCGAACGGGUGAGUAACACGUGAGUAACCUGCCCUUGACUUUGGGAUAACUUCAGGAAACUGGGGCUAAUACCGGAUAGGAGCUCCUGCUGCAUGGUGGGGGUUGGAACGUUUCGGCGGUUGGGGAUGGACUCGCGGCUUAUCAGCUUGUUGGUGGGGUAGUGGCUUACCAAGACUUUGACGGGUGGCAGGCUUGAGAGGGUGACCGGCCAAAUGGGGAAGGAGAGACAGCAGAGACGACUAGGGGAGAAAGGGGGGGAGAAUAAUGCAGAAAGGGCGCGAGCGUGAAGAAGAAACGCGGGGUGGGGAGUGACGGUGUUGGGGUUGAAAACCGGUUGGGCCUGUGACGAAGGGUGAGAGAGGGUAAUGGGAAAAGAAGCACGGUAAAACCACG